rnacentral:snRNA from 1 species
AGAUGUGAGGGCGAUCUAGCUGAGACAUCUGUCACCCGGGGUUGAUUCGGCUGAUCUGGCUGGCUGGGUGGGUGUCCCCUUUCUCCUUCGCCACUCCGUAUGUGUCCCUCCCAAGGUGGGAGAGUGUGGGGGUGCAGAUCCCCCAAGCUGGGCAGAGGCCUGUCACUGAU